GACGAACGCUGGCGGCGUGCUUAACACAUGCAAGUCGAACGGAAAGGCCCUGCUUUUGUGGGGUGCUCGAGUGGCGAACGGGUGAGUAACACGUGAGUAACCUGCCCUUGACUUUGGGAUAACUUCAGGAAACUGGGGCUAAUACCGGAUAGGAGCUCCUGCUGCAUGGUGGGGGUUGGAAAGUUUCGGCGGUUGGGGAUGGACUCGCGGCUUAUCAGCUUGUUGGUGGGGUAGUGGCUUACCAAGGCUUUGACGGGUAGCCGGCCUGAGAGGGUGACCGGCCACAUUGGGACUAAGAUACGGCCCGGACUCCUACGGGAGGCAGCAGUGGGGAAUAUUGCACAAUGGGCGGAAGCCUGAUGCAGCAACGCCGCGUGCGGGAUGACGGCCUUCGGGUUGUAAACCGCUUUCGCCUGUGACGAAGCGUGAGUGACGGUAAUGGGUAAAGAAGCACCGGCUAACUACGUG
rnacentral:rRNA from 1 species